rnacentral:rRNA from 1 species
UACGUAGGCAGCAAGCGUUGUUCGGAGUUACUGGGCGUAAAGGGUGUGUAGGCGGCCUGUUAAGUUCCGUGUGAAAGCCCCCGGCUCAACUGGGGAGGGUCACGCGAUACUGAUCGACUCGAAGGCAGGAGAGGGUAGUGGAAUUCCCGGUGUAGUGGUGAAAUGCGUAGAUAUCGGGAGGAACACCAGUGGCGAAGGCGACUACCUGGCCUGUUCUUGACGCUGAGGCGCGAAAGCUAGGGGAGCAAACGGG